GAUGAACGCUGGCGGCGUGCCUAAUACAUGCGAGUCGAGCGAACAGACGAGGAGCUUGCUCCUCUGACGUUAGCGGCGGACGGGUGAGUAACACGUGGAUAACCUACCUAUAAGACUGGGAUAACUUCGGGAAACCGGAGCUAAUACCGGAUAAUAUAUUGAACCGCAUGGUUCAAUAGUGAAAGACGGUUUUGCUGUCACUUAUAGAUGGAUCCGCGCCGCAUUAGCUAGUUGGUAAGGUAACGGCUUACCAAGGCAACGAUGCGUAGCCGACCUGAGAGGGUGGUCGGCCACGCUGAAGCUGAGACACGCGCCAGACCCCUGGGGGGGGCAGCAGUAGGAAUCUUCCGCAAUGGGCGAAGGCUUGACGAAGCAACGCCGCGUGGGUGAUGAGGGUCUUCGGAUCGUAAAACUCUGUUAUUGGGGAGAACAAAUGUGUAAGUAACUAUGCACGUCUUGACGGUACCUAAUCAGAAAGCCACGGCUAACUACGUG
rnacentral:rRNA from 1 species